UCUUCUAAGCCACAGAGAAUCCCGUACUGUUGCUAACGUCUCCAAGGACAGGAGUCAAUUAUCCUAACAUCAAAUGUGUCAGUACGAAGCUUUACUUUCCUGUUAAAUUUCCAGGCCCCUGCUUUUCCAAUCAGGGUUCCCAAAUGCUGGUAUGACAGGUGUGCACCACGACAACUCAGGCUGCUCUUAACCCUUUCUGCUCUUCCUUAUGGAAAGUAUCCCCAUUUUCCAAACACUUAAAUUCCUGAAAAGAUGCCUGUCUUGCCAUGUUUUCUUGGGAACGGACACAACAGUGAGGCAAUUACGGGAACAUUUCAGUUGAAAAUCUGAAAUAAAAUUCCUUAUUUGCUAAAAUUACAGACACACCCUAUCGAUGCAUGCAUAACCUAAUGGAAGAUGCAAACCCAGAAACCACAUGACGAUUGCGUUCAAGUGAUAGUGAACACUAUUCUCUCAACUGCCAUUGAAGCAGGUAUUUAAGGGCGCAACAAAAAGGAGACAAUUUUGCUAAUGAUUUUUUAGGCAGUCUGUGUGGUAGUGUGAAGGUAACUGGCCCCCAUCAUCUCACAAGGAGUGGCUUUGUUGGAGGGAGUGUGGCACUGUGGGGCAGGAUUUCAGGUUUUCUGUGUUCAGGAUACUUCCCAGAGUCUCAGCUGACUUCCUGUUGCCUGCAAGAUGCAGGACUCAGUUACUACUCCAGCACCACUUCUUCCCGAAUGCCGCCACGCUCCCCAUUAUGAUGACAACUGACUGACCCUCUGAAACUGUUGAAGGUUUGAGCUCCUUGGAUUUCCAGACCGAUGUCCAACAUCAACAAGCUGCUAUUUACAGAGGUCUCCUUACAACAGCCCGAAACACGAUGCCCUCAUGUUGCGUGGGGCGUGGACACCUCCCCGUUGGCAGUGGGCAGGAGAGGCUUGCUGUAUUUGCACUGAAUCCACACUCGGUACAUCGUCAGCUGUUUGCCUCGGUUCACCUGCAAGCGGCGAUCCACCAGGUUCUGCACCUUCUCCAGACCCGCAGCCGUGAAGAGCGCAUCCAGCUCAUCUGGUUUGGAGAGAGCAGAUGUUUAAGGAUUUUCUGCUGGAGGAAGGGCAGUUUGCUGAUGGCUGUGUUAAUUGGAGCUCUGAGACAAUGUAGUCAGAGUGCUUUUAAAGAGGCCUUGCAGCAUUGGUAGGUCCAGGCUUGGGUACCAAAGCCCUUGAGGAGAAAGGCCUACAACGGGGAGGAGUUUUAAGAUGGAAAGGCUACAGGGUGUGCUUCUUGCAUUCAUGUGUAGGUGCACAUGUGUGUGGGGGUCAGAGGGCUCCCUCUGACGCCAUCGUUUAGGCCUCUCACUAGCCUGGGACUUCCCAAGUAGGCUAGAAUGGCAUGUCUGCAAGUCCCAGGGACCCUCCUGUCUCCUUUCCCAGAGUUGGGAUUACAAGCACGUAUCUCCAUGCUCCUAGUCCAGUUCUUUUUUUUAACUAAUUAAUUUCUAGCCUAUCACAGUUUCCUUCCUUUCUCCCUCCCUCCUCUCCUCUCAGUUCUCCCUACUGGUCCAGUUUUUAAAGAUCCCCAAGGGUUCUACAAACACUACAAAGCUACAUGAGGGACUGGACAGUAGAUAAGAGCACGGGCUGCUCUUUCAGAGGACCCAGGUUCUCUUCCCAGCACCAAGGCUGUGACUCAGAAUCAUCUGCAGUUCUAGUUCCAGGGCCUCUAACACCCUCUUCUCGUCUCUGAGGGCACCAGGCAUGGAUGUAAUACACAGACACACAUGCAGGCAAAAAACCAAAACCAAAACCAACCAACCAACCAAACAACCAACCAACCAAAAAACACAUAAAAUUGACAGAUGUAUAUGUCAUGACAAAGUUUUAGGAACAAUUUUCAAUGCUAGGCUCCAAGUGUAUGACUUGACUUAACAAAGGCCUCAGAAUAUUCUUAACAAGUUGGGGGGGGUGAAGCCUGUGACUGGGCAGAUUACAGAGCAGGUCCAGGUCACCUGGAGUCAAGGGACAAUGACUCACCAGCAUAGCUGUGUUGAAGCACAGUCUGGUGCAGAGGGCAAAACAGACCAGGCUGGAGCCUGCAAAAAGCGCCGGCUCCCACUUUGGAUUAGUGAAAGGCAGCUGACCGCGAGUCAGCACAAGUCAGAGGUGUCUGGGAAAGUGACAGCUCAGGGUAGAUAACGGUGUGUGUGAGAGGCAGAGUCCCUAGAGAGGCAGGAGGGUCAGGUGACUAAGAACGUGCAGUUAUCUAUCUACCUGACCUGGCAUACCAACUGCCUUUAGCACUGAUAAAAAAUAUAUUUUUCGUACCUUGUGUGAAGAAGUAAACUCUGGUGCCAUCACCUCUCACAUAGAAAUUUCCAGAGAGACACUGACCUGUGUUACAUGACAAAAACAGAAACAUUAACAUACUUAAUAAAAAAAAGUUUAUUAUUUUUAAGCUUCUGGAUAUGGGCUUGUGUCUGAAUGCGUUGUAUGCAUUACGGAGCUAAGAGAGAGUUCAGGAGUGUCAGAUUCCCUGGAAUUGUGAAUUCUGGGAAGUUGUGAGCUGCCCAAUGUGGGUGCUGGGAACUGAACCCAGGUCCUAUGCAAGAGCAGUAAGUGCUCUUAUUGGUUCAGACUUCUCUCCAGUCCCUAAAGAACUUUGAAUUUCAUCAUUUAGCAAAUGUGAAACAGGCUAAGUGUGGUGGUUCAUACUCACAAUCCCAGCAUUUAGGAGGCUCUGGCAGGAUGACUGGCAGAGUUCCAGGCUAUCUAGGAUACAGAGUGAGACCCCAUCUCAACACCCAACACCUUCCCAUCAACAGGCAUUCAGAAAACCAGAUGUGCAUUUUUGGUGACACACUGAUACGUCACAGGAACUUGCAAUUAAUUUCCUACAAAGGCACAGCACUUCAGCAAAGAGCUGAAGUGGGAAAAAACAAAACCAGUAUCAGAUAAUGUGAUUCCUAGCUGAGUUCUAGAUUGCACCACCACGACCCACACUCAGCUUAGUUUGAAAAACAAUUGGGGCGGGAGAGAUGGCUCAGAGGUUAAGAGCAUUGACUGCUCUACUAGAGGUCCUGAGUUCAAUUCCCAGCAACCACAUGGUGGCUCACAACCAUCUGUAAUGAGAUCUGGUGCCCUCUUCUUGGUGUGCAGGAAUAUAUGCAGGCAGAACACUGUAUACAUAAUAAAUAUUAAAAAAAGAAAAAGAAAAACAACAAUCAAUGUAACUGAUUCUUAACUAAGUGUCCACAUACACUUGUGAGAACUCACACUGUUUUCACGUGGACAAUCCUUCCCUUCUGCUCAUCCCUCCAGUCUUACAACCUUCAUGUAAUUCUACAUUUUUUUUUCUGUUUUGGUUUUUCAAGACAGGGUUUCUCUGUCUUGAAACAAAUUAAAACAACCAACCAACCAAACCGAACAAACAACGGCUGUUCUGGAAUUCACUGGCCUCAACUCACAGAGACGCUGGGAUUAAAGGCGUGUGCCACCACUGGCCGGUAUUAAAAAAAAAGAUUUUAUGAGUAUUUUGCUUACAUGUAUGUCUCUGCACUAACCACAUGCUUGUCUGGUGACUGUUGAGACACGCCAUGGACUGCUGGAAACUGAACUUGGGUUUUCUCCAAGAACAACCAGUGCCCUUAACUACUGAGCAUCUCUCCAGACCCCCACGUACCUUUUUUAAACCGAAGCUGAGCCAUGUCAUAGCGGCCAUAGUCUCGAAGAAGCAUUACCCCUCCAGGCUUCAGGAGUCCGCUCAGCCUGUUGAUAGCUUUCUGCAUCCUGCACGGCAGCAGGGAAUGAAGCUUAAGUCUCCAUGGGGACGGAGUUUCCUCUCCUAUAGCACAAAACCCAAAGCAACACUUCCUAACUCUGACAUCAACAUUAAAGGCCAACCCCUAUGUGUCACAUGGUGGUAGACAUUUCAAGUACUAAACUGGGCUCAUUUUCUCCUGGCCCUGUGAUUGUCACCCCUGCUAUGUGCUCCUGUAGCUUUCUGGGAGCCCUGACCAUAGUCUAGGAAUAACCAUGACUCAUCUGUCUUUCUAUUAAGUGAAAAGCUCUCCUUUAGAAUCUCUGUGAGUUCGAGACCAGCCUGGUCUGAAGAUUAAGUUCCAGGACAGGCUCCAAAGCUACACAGAGAAACCCAGUCUCGAAAAACCAGAGUUCUAAAAAGUCUACACACAGCCAACUCCUGGCUUACUUGGUGCUGCAUACAGCAGGCAAGUGGGGGAGAGCUUCCAUUUGUACAGUGAUGUUCCCUGAGGCCCACAUGCUGAAAGCAUGGCCUCUUCCUGGGACUACUAGGUGGUAGAUACUCAAAGGGUGGGGCCUUUAGGUCACUGGGAAACAUGUGUGGGUGCCCUGGAAGGGGACUGUGGGAUUCUGUUUCCUUCCUCUCUUCUUAGCCCCUGACCAUGGGGUGAGAGAUUUCAUUCUGGAGAUGAUGUGCUGCCUUGCUGAAGGUGUAAAAGUCCGCCCACUUCCAAAACAGAAGCCAAAGUAACCUUCUCUUUAUUUACUCUUUGAGACAGGUUUCUCUGUAUCAGCCCUGGAUGUUCUGGAACUCGCUCUGUGACCAGGCUGGCCUCUAACUCACACACAUGCGCCUGUCUCUGCCUCACUAGUGCUGGGAUUAAGAGUGUGCGCAUUCUCCAAUAGUCUGGCACAGGAUUAAAGUAUUUACAGCACCUGAAGCAUAUAUAUAUGCUACACAAAACAUUUCAAAGCCUUACCAUAUUCCUGUGAGGCCAGAGAACCGUAUUGCUAAUCUAGAGGAAAACCGGCUACCUCAGUUCGGUUAUCAGUCAGCAGUGCCUGAAUCUUACAGCCAUCAUCUUUAUAACUGACUCCAUCUCCUCCAGUGGACAGUUUCAUAGGGUUACUGGCUGCCUGAUACAGGUUUUGUUUUUAGAGAUGGGCUCUUUCUAUGUUGCCCAGGUAGCCCUUGAACCCCAGGGCUAACUCCUGCCCACCGAGACCACAAGCACAUGCUACUAUGCUUCCUUCUUUUGUUUUCUUGGUUUAGGGACUAAACCGAGAGCUCUGUGCAUGGAAAGCACAGACUCUACCACGGAGCACACACCCUCAGAAAACCAUGCAAAACAUGUGCUGUGUACUGAACUGUGUCACCAGCUACCUGCUCAUGAAAUUACAAAAAUGUAUUACAUUUAUUUACUGUGUGUGUCUGGAUGUACAUAUCACAUGUAAAAGUCAGAGUAGAAUGUUCAGAGUCCUUCCACUGAGUAGAAUGUUCAGUUCUCCUUCCACUGAACCCCGGGGAUUGAUCUCAUGUCGGUGGCAAGUUUCUUUACCUGCUGAGUCAUCUUACUGACCCUACAUGAAGUUGUAAAAUAGUAUUUUCAAAAUAAAAAUAGUUUGUUCUUUUA